rnacentral:rRNA from 1 species
CGGAGGGUGCAAGCGUUAUCCGGAUUCACUGGGUUUAAAGGGUGCGUAGGAGGGCAGGUAAGUCAGUGGUGAAAUCUUCGAGCUUAACUUGGAAACUGCCGUUGAUACUAUCUGUCUUGAAUAUUGUGGAGGUGAGCGGAAUAUGUCAUGUAGCGGUGAAAUGCUUAGAUAUGACAUAGAACACCAAUUGCGAAGGCAGCUCGCUACACAUAUAUUGACUCUGAGGCACGAAAGCGUGGGGAUCAAACAGGAUUAGAUACCCUGGUAGUCCACGCCCUAAACGAUGGAUACUCGACAUACGCGAUACACAGUGUGUGUCUGAGCGAAAGCAUUAAGUAUCCCACCUGGGAAGUACGACCGCAAGGUUG